CGGUAUUGAAAAAUACCAUACCGAACAGACAAAUUUCGGGAUACAGAGAAGAUUACAUGCCCUCUGCCCGAGGAUGACAUGCACAAAUUAAGAAAUCAGUCCAACAUAC
rnacentral:snRNA from 1 species